GAUGGACGCUGGCGGCGUGCCUAAUACAUGCAAGUCGAGCGAACGGACGAGAAGCUUGCUUCUCUGAUGUUAGCGGCGGACGGGUGAGUAACACGUGGAUAACCUACCUAUAAGACUGGGAUAACUUCGGGAAACCGGAGCUAAUACCGGAUAAUAUUUUGAACCGCAUGGUUCAAAAGUGAAAGACGGUCUUGCUGUCACUUAUAGAUGGAUCCGCGCUGCAUUAGCUAGUUGGUAAGGUAACGGCUUACCAAGGCAACGAUGCAUAGCCGACCUGAGAGGGUGAUCGACCACACUGGAACUGAGACACGGUCCAGACUCCUACGGGAGGCAGCAGUAGGGAAUCUUCCGCAAUGGGCGAAAGCCUGACGGAGCAACGCCGCGUGAGUGAUGAAGGUCUUCGGAUCGUAAAACUCUGUUAUUAGGGAAGAACAUAUGUGUAAGUAACUGUGCACAUCUUGACGGUACCUAAUCAGAAAGCCACGGCUAACUACGUG
rnacentral:rRNA from 1 species